rnacentral:rRNA from 1 species
CAUAGCGUAUAUUAAAGUUGUUGCAGUUAAAAAGUCUCGUAGUUGGAUUUCUGGCAUGAUGCGCCCGGCCCGCCUCAACUAUGAGUGUGUGUGCUAGUGCGCGUCUGCCAUCCAUUUACAGAACGGUCAUACCCUUCAUUGGGCCGUGCUCGUGAUGUAAAUCUUUUACUUUGAAAAAAUUAGAGUGUUUAAAGCAGGCAUUUGCUAUGAAUACAUUAGCAUGGAAUAAUAAUCUAGGACUCUGGUUCUAUUUUGUUGGUUUCUAGUACUGGAGUAAUGAUUGAUAGGGAUAGUUGGGGGUGCUAGUAUUUAGGGGCCAGAGGUGAAAUUCUUGGAUUCUCUAAAGACUAACUUAUGCGAAAGCAUUCACCAAGGAUGUCUUCUUUAAUCAAGAACGAAAGUUGGGGGAUCGAAGACGAUCAGAUACCGUCGUAGUCUCAACCAUAAACUAUGCCGACUAGAGAUUGGAGGUCGUUAUCCAUACGACUCCUUCAGCACCU